rnacentral:rRNA from 1 species
GACGAACCGUGCGAACGUUGUUCGGAAUAACUGGGCUUAAAGGGCGCGUAGGCGGGCUAACAAGUCUGGGGUGAAAUCCCGCGGCUCAACCGUGGAACUGCCUUAGAUACUGUCGGCCUCGAGGGAGAUAGGGGCAUGCGGAACUAACGGUGGAGCGGUGAAAUGCGUUGAUAUCGUUAGGAACUCCGGUGGCGAAAGCGGCGUGCUGGAUCUCUUCUGACGCUGAGGCUCGAAAGCUAGGGGAGCAAACGGG